rnacentral:rRNA from 1 species
AUGGAAGAAGAUCAGGUUAAAUUAGCAGCACUCAUCGCGGAGCUAGAGGAGCCAGUUGGUCUUUGUGACUUGCCAGCAAUUGACCCUCCUAAUACUAAGAGAAAGAAGGGAAGGGCAAUAAAGAAUUUUUCUGAGUGGAUAGAGAAAGAGCCUCCAAUGAAUUGGUCUUUGCUGCAUGACACACAUGGAGCUAGGUAUGGCCACAUGACAACCAAUCUUGCAGAGGUGUAUAACUUUGUGCUGAGAGGGAAUAGAGCAUUGCCACUCACAGCUAUUGUGGAGGCUGUAUUCCAUGGCACUUUGAGAUAUUUCAGAGAAAGGCACGAGUUAGCAAAGAAGCAUAUUGAAGAUAAUCAGAACACACCUUAUUGUAGCCGUGUCAUGGAAUACAUGGCAAAGAAGAUAGAGAAAGCAAAGAAGCACAGUGUCAGACUCAUAGGGAAUCAAGAAAGGAGGUAUGAGGUUCAGCUUCCUACCGAUGGUUUUGGUUCUGGAAAUGAGGUGAAGACACACGAGGUUAAAAUUGGAACGGAAUUUUAUCCAACGUGUGAGUGUACAUGCAACAAACCGAAGUUGCUGCACCUACCUUGCUCUCAUGUGUUGGCUGCCUGUGGCCAGAUUCAGUUGGAUGCUAUAUCCUUCGUGUCCCCAUACUAUUUAAAAGAGGCAGUGCUCAACACCUGGACAGGCGAGAUGACAGGGUUUAGAGUCGUCGGCAAUUUCAACAAGGUAAACGACGGUGAGAGAGUAUACAUCCCGCAUCCAGACCUUCGGCGAACAAGUAGGGGCAGACGAAAGGCCCGUCGCAUCCGGAACGAUAUGGACCAGUCUGAAGCUGGUGGAGCAACCAGACAAUGUUUGUUAUGCGCGGCUUAUGGGCAUAGGAUGAAAUAU